AAGAUUGGAACAUAGUGAUGAUCUUGCCUGAUGCUACUCUGCAGUUUCCAAGCUAUGACCUAUUUUUCUUCCCCAGUGCUUCUGUCACACCGCGACUCUUCCCCCCGCUUGCCUAACCCCCCGCCCUUCCAUUGAAAAUGUAAGAAGUGACUGUGAUGCUGUAUGAUUGAAACAUGACCAGUUUGUCCUGAAUCUGGUAUUCUCAGCUGUGACCCACUGAGGCAUGGUGACCGUGACGGAUGAUCACUUCUACCCCACAAGUGAACUCUGGUUAAAAUAGUAAAAACAAAACCUCAACAACAACAAAACAACAACCCAAAAACCACAGCCUCCAAACUUCAACAAAAUAUGAGUCAUUCCGGAAGUCAAAGAGUUGGGACUCUGCAAAUGUGGAUGACAAAACAAAAGUAAUUAUAUAA